rnacentral:lncRNA from 1 species
UGGCCCGGACCUGCCCUCAGCCCCGUGCCAGGCUGAGGUCACGAGCCCGAGUCCCAUCACCAGGCACGGGGGUGAUGAGAGAGGCGGGAAGGUCUUGAGAGGCCAGGCAGCCGCUGGUGGCUUAUCCAGAUUAGGCUUUUCACGUGAAGGGGAGACAAGAAUCUGCUUUGUUGCAACUGGGGCAUCAAGCUAGAAGCACUGUUGGUGCUCCUGGCACUCCCUGGCACUCUCCAAAGCUUAUUUGUUGCUCUUCCGAGACACGUCCAGGUGCUCUCUGUUAUGAUAACAAGUGGUGACACAGAGUUAGCUUGAAAUGGGAUAAACAAACAGACUAAAAAUAACUGGAUUUAGGGCGACUUGGCACCGAAUCCAGUGUUCAGGCUGUCACUGCUCAGCCGAGGCGUGAAGAUAGGCGCCAUCAAAGGCACCCCGACCCCCGGAGCGAGGGGGAGUUGGGCUUGGGUGUGGCUGAGUCCCACUUGGGUCCCCGCUUCCACCACCAUGGAGCGGUGGGCCGCUGAGGGUGGAGGUGCCAGAUGGUGCCUGAGGCCCAGGGGAGGGGCAUGGUGGGCCCGGAUGUGAGCGAGGCGGUUUAUGUCUGUUUGCAGGAAGCCGGGCCAAUGUUUGGACAUCUUUAUGGUUUGGGGAGUUUUUUGGCCUCGCCCAGAGGAGCCAUGGUUGCAUCAGAACUGGAGGUCCUCUCCUUGGUGGCCCACGCACUGGGAGAGAGACGCAAAGGGGGCAAGGCCUGGGUCUGAGGAAGAGGGGGGAGUCAAGGCAGACAUCACUCAAGAGCACCGAGAACAUGGUCCUUCUCAGCAGAGUGCUCUCGACAGCCAGCCAGUACUAAUCUAUCCAGGUUUGCCAUGCUGGCGAAGCUGUUGCGUGGAAAACAAAUCCUCGAGGUGCAUCUGAGAGAAUCAAGGCCCAAGAAGGUGGACUUGCCCAAGACGUGGCAGGUAAGUGCAUCUGUGAACCUACAGCCAGCUUUGGGGAGGUGUUGGGGGUGCCUUCUCAUGUUUGGAACAUACUGAAGAAGCCCCA